GAGACCUAAGAUGGCGGCGUUUGCAUAAUAUGAAAGCGAUGCAGGCGUACCAGAUUGGAGAGGCAGGCAAAGGAUGUAUCUGCUAAGGAAGGUUCGGGAACUCGCCAAUACUUGUGGCCUCUCUAUUCCCUGAAAAACAAUAAUGAAGUUAGGCCAGUGAAUACCCUACAGUGGUUCAAGUGAAAGGAGGAAAAAUCACACAUCUCUCACUUUAAAUCAAAGGUAGAUCACAUCCAAAAAAUAAAAUACCUAGAAUAAACCUACCAAAGGAGGCAAAAGACCUGUAUUCCAAAAACUCUUAAGAAGCUGAUGGAAUAAAUUGAAGAUGACACAAACAGAUGGAAGAAAUACCAUGUUCUUGGAUUGCAAGAAUCAGUAUUGUCAAAGUGACCAUACUGCCCAAGACAAUCUAAAUUUUCAGUGCAAUCCCUAUCAAAAUUAUCAAUGGCAUUUUUCUCAGAAGUGGAACAAAAUUUUUAAAAAUUUUAUGGAAACAUAAAAGACCUUGAAUAGCCAAAACAAUCUUGAGAAAGAAGAACAGAACUGGAGGAAUCGUGCUCCUUGACUUCAGACUAUACUACAAAGCUACAGUAUUCAAAACAGAAUGAUAUUGGGAGGAUGGAACCAGACAUAUUAUAGAUCAAUGGAUAGAAAGCCCAGAAAUAAACCCAUGCCCUUUGGUCAAUUAAUCUACAACAAAGGAGGCAAGAACAUACAAUGGAAAAAAGACAGUCUCUUCAAUAAACCAUGCUGGGAAAAUUGGACAGCUACAUGUGAAAGAAUGGCACAAUGAAUUAAGUAUACAGUGUUGUCACUGCAGCGUCUCAGGUCACUGCUGUGGCGUGGGUUUGAUCCCUGGCCUGGGAACUUCUAUAUGCCAUGGGUGUGGCCAAAAAGACAACCAAAAUCCUCCCAAAUAACCAUGAGAUACCACUUCAUACUGUGCCUAUAAAAUGGAAAAUAACAAAUGUCAGUAAUGAUGUGGAAAAGUUAAAAUUUUUGUUCCUUUCGGAGUUCCUGUCAUGGCUCAGUGGUUAACGAAUCCAACUAGGAACCAUGAGGUUGUGGGUUUGACCCCUGGCCUCGCUCAGUGGGUUAAGGAUCCAGCGUUGCUGUGGCUGUGGUGUAGGCUGGUGGCUACAGCUCCGANAAAAAAAAAAAAAAAAAAAAAAAAAAAAAAAUUGUUCUUUUUAUGGGGGACAUCAAACAGUGAGGCUACUGUGAAGAACAGUAUUGUAGUUCCUAAAAAAUUUAAAUAGAGAAUUUUUGUGACCCCAGUUCCAUACCAUGUAUAGUCCUAAGUUAAAGGAAUAAUGUUCAAGUAAACAUUUUGUAUGGAAAUAUGUACAGCCACAACUAUUUGCCAUAGGCAAAGGGUGAAAUUGUUUCAAAUAUCCAUGAGUAGAUGAAUGGCUAAAGAAAGUGGUAUAUUCAUAAAAUGCAGUAUUAUUCAUCCAUAAAUAGGAAUCAAUUACAGAUACAUAGUAUGUCAUGGAUGUUCAUCUUAAUCAUUGUGCUAAGUGAAAGAAACCAGACACAUAAGGGCCUUAUUCUAUUUACAUGGAAUAUGAAGAAGAGGUAAAUCGGUAGGGGCAAAGCAGAUUAGUGGUUGUCAGUGACUAGAGAGGGUACAGGGAAUGGAGAAUGGAGAAUUUUGACCAUAGUGAUGAUUGCACAAAGGCCCCUGAAUUGUAUUAAAAUGGUGAGUUUCAUGUAUGUGAAUUUUACCUCAUUUUUAAAAAUAAAGGAAUUAAUCAUUUAAAAAAAAUAGGUGGUGGGCAAGAUAUAGCUCCCUGGGUAUAGUUUAUUGACUCUUGGUAUUGUUUAUUCAUGGCUAUUUGCAUUGCAACAUAUUUAUUACAAAUAUUUUUUAAUGAGACAGUCUAAAGACAUAUUUAGAAUGUAGUAGGAUAUAAGUUGUCACAAAAUGCUGGCUUUCAAAAUUUAUAUACAAAUCAUUAGAAUCAAUAUGCUGUUAGCCCUGUAGAGGAUUGGCAAAGACUUGAGCAUGUCCCACAUAAACCACAGUGGUAGGUCCUCAAGUUCAUUUGGCAACAGAGAAACAGCAAAAAUUAUAAGCAGUCCUAAUGUAUACUUUCUAGAAUGGGUCCAAUAAAAUGGAUUGAGGAUUCUAAAUAUUGGUGAGUAUUUUACUAACCAGUAUCUUUCACACAGGGAUGGUGUGAGUAUAAUUGGGGAUAGUCACAUUGGAAAACUUUUCAUGAUACGCCAUAAUACUGAACAUGCUCAUAUUUUCUGACUUAGAAAUUUCACUACAGUGUAUAUGCUUAUAAAGAUUGAUGUGUAUAUGUUCCCUAAAGACAUGUUAAUGUCUGUAGCAUUAUUAUUCUUAAUGGCUCUAAGCUGGAAAACAUGCAAAUGACUGUCAACAGAAUAGACACAUCAAUGGUAGUGGUGUUUCCUUUUUGUGGAUUACUACACAUUAUUGAAAUAGAACGAACUGCAACUACAUGUUAUGCAGCUAUCUCCUAUUAUUUUCAGCAAAGGAGCAGAAUGUAUUAACCAAAAGUUGGAAUAGUGGUUCAUCUGGGUAAAAAUGUAAUUAAUUAUAGCAGUGCACAUGUCACUUUAAUGAUGCUAAUAAUUUUUUCAAGUUUGUUAAAUUAUUCUUUGUGUACGUAUAUAAUUUAUACAGUCUUCUGUGUAUCAUAUUUUAUAAUAUAAUAAAAAUAAAAUUUCACUCAAAUACCAAUUUUUGAGGAUCCUUCUCAGGAUGUAUGGGUAUACCUUGGAGAUAUGUGGGUUCAGUUCCAGACAACCACAGUAAAGUAAAUAUCACAAUAAUUUGAGUUACAUGAGUUUUGUUGAUUUACUAGUGCACAUAAAAGUCAAGUUUGCACUGUACUGUAGUUUCUUCUGUACAAUAGCAUCAUGUCUAAAAAAAAAGUACAUACCUUAAUUUAAAAAUUUUUGGAGUUCCUGUCGUGGUUCAGUGGAAAUGAAUCCAACUAGGAACCAUGAGGUUGUGGGUUCGAUCCCUGGCCUCCACUCAGCUGGUUAAGGAUCUGGUGUUGCUGUGAACUGUGGUGUAGGUCGCAGACGUGACUCGGAUCUGGUGUUGCUGUGGCUGGCAUAGGCCAGCAGCUACUGCUCCAAUUAGACCCCUAGCCUGGGAACCUCCAUAUGCCGUGGGUGCGGCCCUAAAAAUGACAGAAAUGAAAAUUCAUUGCUGAAAAAUGCUAAGCAUCAUCUGAGCCUUUAUCAAGUUAGUCGUGACAUCAAAAAUUACUGAUCAUCCUAAGAAAUAUAAUUGCAAAAAAGUUUUAAGUAUAUACUUCUGAAGUUUCUCCUAAUGGCAUACAGCAAAUGAUGAAAUACUUAAGAGUUUUCUUGAAACUGAAGAGCAAGAUUGUGUGACAUUCAAACUACCACUCACUCAUUCUUCCCAUUUCAACUCAUUAGGAUGACUCUACUCUAAGUAUUGGAGCCAAAAAUAAAAAUAUCUCUGUCUUUUAGCUAGCAGUUCAGGUCUGAAGUCCAGAAAGGGAUGAUGCCAAAAUUUCUUAUUCUCCAGCUCAGUUUUGUAGAUCCUCAGUUCCACACAAUUGCAGCUAACAGGAUGAAGAUUUAUUCCUCUCCUCCCCACUCAGACACAUUGAAUAGGAGCUCUUCCUCAGGUUUAGUAUCCUUAGAAUACUGAACCCCCUGUCUUCACCGUAGGUCAUUUGUACCUUUGAAGUUCCAUAUUAGGUGGGGCAAAUUGAGAACACAGCAAUCCCCCAGUUUAAUACUUAAAAAUCUGUAUUGUCACUUUGAGGACAGGUUGUCACUAUCUCUCUAGCUCUUUGGAUCUGGGUGACAGAUUCUGUUAAGUAGGACAGGCAGAACAUAAAAAUAGAGAGCCCUGAAGCCCUCCCUAAUGCACCUACUUUUAUUUUAUUUUAUUUUACUUUAUUAUUUUACUUUUAUAUUUUUAUAACUGCACCUGAGGCACAUAAAAGUUCCUGGGCUAGGAGUUGAAUUGAAGCUAUAGCUGCAGGCCUAUGCCACAGUCACAGCAAUGUUGGAUAUGAGCCACAUCUGCAACCUCUGCCACAGCUUGCGGCAGUGCUGGAUCCUUAACCCACUGAGCAAGGCCGGGGAAUUGAACCUGCAUCCUUAUGGACACUAUGUUGGGUUCCUAACCCACAAUGGGAACUCCCUAAACUACCGUUAUUUUAAAGAGUAUGGUGACAUUGAAGCCUAUGGGCAAACCCCGAAAUGGUAGAUAUUUCAGUAGUAAGUAAUUAGAUAGCUGGUACUUCAUGAGCGCAACUUGCCUAACUGUAGGCUAGCUAAUUUUCCACAGAGAACCAUGAAAAGCAUUGAGAGCAUUCCUUUUGUCUGAACAAAUACUGGCAUCACUCACUACCACUGCAGUGGGCCUGAAUUUAACUGUAUUAGGAUAUUUAGUAAUAUAUGUUAUAAAUCAUAGAAAAAUGAACUUGUAUUUAGUGUAGCCAACAGCUCAAUUUGUUCAAGACUAGAGACCACUUGACUCCUUGUAUAUUUGUCAUUCCAGGAUAACUGGACAUUUCCAGGGCUAAACCCUCUGAGAAGCAAUAUCAUAAGCUUAACAUUGUGUGAGAAAUAGACUUCAGUAAGAGUCCAAUGAAUCACUAAACAUUAAAAAUUUAACUGAUAACUACCAUCCCUGGAGUUGUGCUUAACUAGCCAAUAUUGCUACCAUCAUUUAUGUCUUUUUUCCAACUGCAAAAAAAAUUGAGACAUGCAAAAAAAAAAAAAAA
rnacentral:lncRNA from 1 species